CCAAAAUAUGGGCAUCUACGCAGGGCUUCUUCAUCAUAUGCAUUUCCCAUCAAGUUUUUGAAGACCUCAUGGGUACACAAAGCAGCAUUUCUACACAAUUCUGCAGGGCGUCUGAGUCUGAGACUCUUGGAUGAGCUCGUGGAGGCCACAAAUCCUGACUUUGGUUCCCUGGGUCUUUCAUCCCCCAAUCUACCCAACAUGGACUAAGAGCCUGCUGAGUGCUACCCAUGUUCUUAAGGACCACAAAGCCUAGCAGUACGGAUAAGUGACUAAAAUGUGCAGGUGAGUGCAUGUGCAUAAGCAAAAAACCUAAAACAAAAUGAGUUCGUGUGAAAAUCAGAUCAACAAUUUAGAAGGCGCUGGAGUUUAAUAAACUAUCCUCAAAACAACAUGCAAA